CCUACGGGAGGCUGCAGUAGGGAAUCUUCGGCAAUGGGGGGAACCCUGACCGAGCAACGCCGCGUGAGUGAAGAAGGUUUUCGGAUCGUAAAGCUCUGUUGUAAGAGAAGAACGGGUGUGAGAGUGGAAAGUUCACACUGUGACGGUAUCUUACCAGAAAGGGACGGCUAACUACGUGCCAGCAGCCGCGGUAAUACGUAGGUCCCGAGCGUUGUCCGGAUUUAUUGGGCGUAAAGCGAGCGCAGGCGGUUAGAUAAGUCUGAAGUUAAAGGCUGUGGCUUAACCAUAGUAUGCUUUGGAAACUGUUUAACUUGAGUGCAGAAGGGGAGAGUGGAAUUCCAUGUGUAGCGGUGAAAUGCGUAGAUAUAUGGAGGAACACCGGUGGCGAAAGCGGCUCUCUGGUCUGUAACUGACGCUGAGGCUCGAAAGCGUGGGGAGCAAACAGGAUUAGAUACCCCAGUAGUC
rnacentral:rRNA from 1 species